UACGUAGGGUGCAAGCGUUUGUCCGGAAUUAUUGGGCGUAAAGAGCUCGUAGGCGGUUUGUCGCGUCUGCUGUGAAAACUCGGGGCUUAACCCCGGGCCUGCAGUGGGUACGGGCAGACUAGAGUGCGGUAGGGGAGACUGGAAUUCCUGGUGUAGCGGUGAAAUGCGCAGAUAUCAGGAGGAACACCGGUGGCGAAGGCGGGUCUCUGGGCCGUAACUGACGCUGAGGAGCGAAAAGCGUGGGGGAGCGAACAGG
rnacentral:rRNA from 1 species